rnacentral:misc_RNA from 1 species
CCAUCAAAUUCCUAUCUUUGGUAGAAUUGUCUAUUAAACAUUGUCACAAGUUGAGUACUUUUGCUCAGGGAGUUGUAAGCGCACCAAGGCUACCACAAGCAUUUGUAAAGGAAGGAGAAAGAGGUAAAAUGAUUUGGAAGAAGGAUAUUAACAACACAAUAAAUCACUUGCAUAGAGAAAGGAUAUGCUCAGUUUACUGUUAAAAAAUGAUGCUAUAUACUGGGGGGCUUCAUGAAGCGGAGAAUGCUCAGCUUUCUGAACCAAAAUG